GGCACCACAAGGAGACAUGUUGUUUGGAUUGAAAUUAUAGGAGAUCCGAACAUGUAGAAGGUAGUACAUGGUAAAAGUGCUAAGCAUAAUGAUACCUCAUAUCUAGGGUCCUGCCCCUUACCAUUCAAAGGACAUUAGGUAAGUCAUACUUUCUCAUCAAAAAAGUGAGAGAAUUUGAUUGGAUGAGCUCCAGGUUUUAUUCGUGCAUUGGAACUAUUCUUCCUAGCAAUUAACACAUGGUUGCUAUGACUCUACUCAAUUCAACUCCAAUUUGAUUUUGCAGCACACUCUCAUACUUCCACAUCUUUUUCAAGGUCAUUCACAUACACUGUCUGUGUUCUAUCCAACAGCUCUGUAAGAUAAGAAACCGAAGAAGCUGGUCUCCCAUUUAGAGACAGAGAAGACUCUGUUUUCUUUUGGAAAUGAGCAGUGAAGUAGAUGACUUUACAACAGGACAUCAAAAAAAAAUGAAGCCUCAUGGAGAACCCAACAGGCGCUCAUCUAAGAGAAGGCGGAGUGCUACUGUCAUUCACGAUGUCCAUGUGAAUGAGAUGGAAAAUGAGCAACCACCACCUGAAGGCUUCUCGUCAAAAUAUGUUCCACCAGAGCCUAUGAAUAUGGCAGAAGGUGGUAUUCCACCUAAUCAAUUGGAUUCUCUGUCUGAUGACUCCAUCAGUCUCGGGAAAGAUGAGCUGGUUCACAAACCUGGUAGUAGUGAUACACCUGUAGAAGGAACCAAACACAGUAGUGUUUCUGUAGAUGACCCAAGAGUCACAGCAAUGUCUUCAAUGGAAAAUGUGCCAAAUACAUGGCAAAUCAGUCCUGCCAUGGCACAGAAAAUUAAUGAUGAUAUAAAAUAUCAAUUAAUGAAGGAAGUUCGAAAGUUUGGACGAAGUAAGUAGUGAAAGAACAUCUAUCAAUAAAAGCAUAGGAGAUCUCUCUCAUUCUGUAAUUUAGAACAGUCAAGCUACCUUUUCAGCUCAUUAUUUG
rnacentral:lncRNA from 1 species